GUAUGGCAAGUAUGAUGAGUCUACUAGAUGUGUCAGGGGUGUAUUCCCAGAGAGCUAAAACCUCUGAGGCUUAUUGAUAUUCUGACUUGCCAACC
rfam:Capsicum annuum cultivar Zunla-1 chromosome 9, whole genome shotgun sequence